UGAUGUCAACGUUAACCUAUUGUGGCCAC
rnacentral:sRNA from 1 species